rnacentral:tRNA from 1 species
GACGGUAUAGCUCAGCGGGAGAGCACUUCCUUCACACGGAAGGGGUCGGCAGUUCGAUCCUGCCUACCGUCA